rnacentral:rRNA from 1 species
UCCGUAGGUGAACCUGCGGAAGGAUCAUUGAAUCCAUCCACAUCCACACGCGAACUUAUCCAGUACCCCUGGCGCGGCCGCAAGGCCAAACCAGCGGCCGGGUCUCGGCCCGACCGGGCUGGGCGGGGUCUUUUCCCCGACCAGUCGGCAACCUGUAUACACACCCAACCAAUCAGUACCCUGAAGCAAAGGCUCGCUGCUCCCAGAGCGCGACACCUAACUGAGACAACUCUCAACAACGGAUAUCUUGGCUCUCGCAACGAUGAAGAACGCAGCGAAAUGCGAUACGUAGUGUGAAUUGCAGAAUUCCGUGAAUCAUCGAAUCUUUGAACGCAUAUUGCGGUCGAGGCUUCGGCCAAGACCAUGUCUGCCUCAGCGUCGGAGUAAACCCUCACCCCUCCACCUAGUGGUCAACCACAAAGGUGGCGGGCGUGGACCUGGCCUCCCCAGCGAUCGUCUGAUCACUGGGCUGGCUGAAAUGCAGAGGUACGCGCACGGACCUGUAUGGGGGCACCAGGCAAGGGGGUAGGGGGUAGGCUCGGUCUACUCCAGCUGGGGCGGCUUUGGGGGGCCCGGCUGGCCGGCACCCGGCAGGGGGAACCCCACUCCUUAUCGACCUGAGAUCAGGCAAGGCUACCCACUGAACCUUAAGCAUAUCAAUAAGCGGA